GACGAACGCUGGCGGCGUGCUUAACACAUGCAAGUCGAGCGGAAAGGCCCUUCGGGGUCCUCGAGCGGCGAACGGGUGAGUAACACGUGAGUAACCUGCCCCAGACUUUGGGAUAACCCUCGGAAACGGGGGCUAAUACCGGAUACGACACAGCUUCGCAUGGGGUCUGUGUGGAAAGUUUUUCGGUUUGGGAUGGGCUCGCGGCCUAUCAGCUUGUUGGUGGGGUGAUGGCCUACCAAGGCGACGACGGGUAGCCGGCCUGAGAGGGCGACCGGCCACACUGGGACUGAGACACGGCCCAGACUCCUACGGGAGGCAGCAGUGGGGAAUAUUGCACAAUGGGCGGAAGCCUGAUGCAGCGACGCCGCGUGAGGGAUGACGGCCUUCGGGUUGUAAACCUCUUUCAGCAGGGACGAAGCGAAAGUGACGGUACCUGCAGAAGAAGCGCCGGCCAACUACGUG
rnacentral:rRNA from 1 species